UACGAAGGGGGCUAGCGUUGUUCGGAAUCACUGGGCGUAAAGCGCACGUAGGCGGGUUGUUAAGUCAGGGGUGAAAUCCUGGAGCUCAACUCCAGAACUGCCUUUGAUACUGGCGAUCUUGAGUCCGGGAGAGGUGAGUGGAACUGCGAGUGUAGAGGUGAAAUUCGUAGAUAUUCGCAAGAACACCAGUGGCGAAGGCGGCUCACUGGCCCGGUACUGACGCUGAGGUGCGAAAGCGUUGGGAGCAAACAGG
rnacentral:rRNA from 1 species